rnacentral:lncRNA from 1 species
UUUUUUUUUUUUUCCUUAAACUUUUUUUUUUGCCUUUCUCCUGGAAGAGUGCAGGCACACAUUACGCGAAACCCACAGCCUUUCGCGAUACACAGCUCGAAACGCUCUAGUUUAUUUAUAUAGCCCCUCCACCUCGGGUCUUCCCACCCGUCCCCAAAUUCCCUAGAAAUCCAGCUAAGGCGUGGGGAAGAGGAGAAAGCAGUUUUGGAAGGGAGGGAGUUAUUUAUUUUUGUUUUGUUUGGGGAUUGUUUUGCUUUGUUGACUUUUUUUCUUUGCAUACAAAAAUAAGUGGAGAAGAUUUUGCAAGGUGCGGCCGCGCCGUCGAGGCCAGAGGUGCCGCGGGAGCAGCGAGGGCCGCGGGCAGCGCUGGGACACAGCCGCCCCCGACCCCAGCACCGACAGGGCUCCAGGCAGCCCCUGCUGCCCCCAGGCACAGCCGACAGCCUCAUCCCACGUGGGAGAAAGCUCAGGAUGGCAGAAGGGAGGUCAAGGCAUUGAAACAGAGGGGCAAAUCCAGAUUCCUCAGGACAAAUUUCUUCUGCAAGUCCUUUCAGAGGAGACAUACCAGUGAAAUGCCCACAAUAACACAUUGAAAAGGAGAUGAUGAAAUAAAAUGGCAAGGACUAUGUGGAACCA